GCAAUCGCUAGUUUUUAACUAGAGGAAAGUCCAUGCUCGCACAUAUCUGAGAUGAUUGUAGUGAUUAUGCUAACUUAAUAAAUAAGGUUAGGUACUUGGGAGCAAGUAACGGCGGAAGAAGUCCUAAAAAUUAAUUCAUGGAUAGAUUCUAUAAAGUGCCACAGAGACGAGCUUUUUAGAAAUAAAAAGAUGAAACGUUGGUAAACCCCAUAAGCGAGAAACCCAAAAUAUGGUAGGGGAAAUUAUUCGAAAGAAUUGAAUGGAGAAUAAUAAGUUUAUACUUAGAUAAAUGAUUGCAUAAAACAGAACAUGGCUUACG
rnacentral:RNase_P_RNA from 1 species